UACGUAGGGUGCAAGCGUUGUCCGGAAUUAUUGGGCGUAAAGAGCUUGUAGGCGGUUUGUCGCGUCUGCUGUGAAAUUUCGGGGCUCAACCCCGAACUUGCAGUGGGUACGGGCAGACUAGAGUGUGGUAGGGGAGACUGGAAUUCCUGGUGUAGCGGUGAAAUGCGCAGAUAUCAGGAGGAACACCGAUGGCGAAGGCAGGUCUCUGGGCCAUAACUGACGCUGGAGAAAGCGAAAAGCAUGGGGAGCGAACAGG
rnacentral:rRNA from 1 species